rnacentral:rRNA from 1 species
GACGUAGGGCGCGAGCGUUGUCCGGAUUUAUUGGGCGUAAAGAGCUCGUAGGCGGCUUGUCGCGUCGUCCGUGAAAACCCACAGCUCAACUGUGGGCUUGCGGUCGAUACGGGCAGGCUGGAGUUCGGUAGGGGAGACUGGAAUUCCUGGUGUAGCGGUGAAAUGCGCAGAUAUCAGGAAGAACACCCGUGGCGAAGGCGGCUCUCUGGUACGUGACUGACGCUGAGACGCGAAAGCGUGGGGAGCGAACAGG